rnacentral:rRNA from 1 species
GACGAACGCUGGCGGCGUGCCUAACACAUGCAAGUCGAGCGGAGAUAAUUAAAAGCUUGCUUUUGAUUAUCUUAGCGGCGGACGGGUGAGUAACGCGUGGGCAACCUGCCUGUUACAGGGGGGAUAACACAGGGAAACUUGUGCUAAUACCGCAUAAAACAAUGAGGUAGCAUUACCUUAUUGUCAAAGGAGCAAUCCGGUGACAGAUGGGCCCGCGUCCAAUUAGCUAGUUGGAGGUGUAACGGACCACCAAGGCGACGAUUGGUAGCCGAACUGAGAGGUUGAUCGGCCACAUUGGGACUGAGACACGGCCCAGACUCCUACGGGUGGCAG